GACAGAGGUGCCAAGCGUUAGGCGGAAUCACUGGGCUUAAAGCGUGUGUAGGCGGGUCGUUAAGUACCUUGUGAAAUCCCCACAGCUCAACUGUGGAACUGCUCCGGUAUACUGGCGAUCUUGAGCCCACUUAGGGGCCUGUCGGAACAAACGGUGGAGCGGUGAAAUGCGUAGAUAUCGUUUGGAACGCCAAAGGUGAAACAGACAGCUGGGAGUGUGCUGACGCUGAGACACGAAGCCAGGGGAGCGAACGGG
rnacentral:rRNA from 1 species